GAGAGAGAGACGGGCAGAAGGAAGGAAGGACAGAAUUUUUUCCAAACAAUGUCUGAAUUUUCAGCUGAAGAAACGGAUCUAAUGGAAAGACACGAGCACAUCACAUCUGUCCCGGGCUGUGUGUCCUCAGUCUGAGCCGCAGGGCUGAGCUGCUGCAGAGGAUGGAGGCUGGCCAGGAGCCGCUGACCGGCCAUCGGAAGCAACAGGAGAAGGAGGCUGAGGCUGCUCGGCACAGGAACACUCUGCUGCUGCAGGAUUUACAGCAGCUGGAGGACCGGCUGAGAGGAAGGCAGCUUCCAGCCCCCAGUCUGCUGGCCAUGGAGACCAGAUAUUGGGCAUCAGUGGAGGAGUCGGUCCCUUCCUGGGAGCACUUCCUGCUGGGGAAAGGUCCACAUCCUGCAGACGGCCACGGACCAUGUCCAGCUCGGAGAGGGAGCGCCGCUAAAGACCGCGGGCUGCCGCCGCUCCCCACGCACAGGCCUGCCAGAUGAGGCUCAGGAGAAUGCAUCCUGGCCAGGCUGUACUCCAGGCCCAGGUCCAGGUCCAGGUCCAGGUCCAGGUCCAGGUCCAGGGCCUCAUGGCCUGAGAGGACCAAGUCAGAUGUAUAUCCUACUCACUGAUUUACACCAAAUAUUAAAGUUUUGUGCUCAACUUUAUGCCCGUUCGUCCUCGUCUUCUUCUGACUGGAUGAGUUGAGACAUGAAGCUGGAACAGAAACGUGAGACUUCACUAUAAUCAAGAGAAAAAGGGUUUCCCAGCACACACCACCGCUGCUGAAGGUUCACAAAGUCUUUCUAGACGGUGUAUUUCGUUGCUUCAGAAGUCCCGUUGGCUGUACGUGAUGAGAGACGUCCGUCCGUCCACACUGCAAAGGACACAUGAGGACCGGGGGACGGAACCACGGGACAUCCAGACCUUCGUGGCCCUGGACGGAGGAGCUGCAGCAGCGUUGUGAGCCCUCCUUCAUGUUGCAGUGUUGUAUUCUCACCAGCAGAGGGAGCUACCAUGCUGGGCCUGGUUUCGUCCACCUCCAGCAGGGCUGGAGAGGUUCUGAGUUGAUGGGCUGGUCAGAGGCACAGAUCUGUCUCAUCAGCUUUGGCUGUACUUCCCCUUGCUGUUAGCUGGACGUCAGACAAACUGAAAUGAAGUUUUGGAUCUUUGUUUCCUUUCUUCUGGUGCAUCUGUCUGUAAAUACUUCUGGAUAAUGAAUCUGGAGUCGGGCUGUCAGAAGAAUGAUUUUUAAUUAGGAUUAAUCACAGGGUUUUCAUCGUUAAUUGCACUUUGGAAUACAUGUUUAAAACUCUGUUUUGCAUUUCAAGGCAGUUUCCAGCCCAGAAUGUGAGGCUUCCAUCAGUCCAGUCAAUUCGCAGCUCAUCGCUUCAAUGUAAGUGAACUGUUGGGAUUUAUCAUGUAACGUUCUGCUCUUCGUAGUGUCACAUCAGCACAGCCAGUGUCGGAGUCCUGUUGACACUCCUCUGUGUGGCCCAGUAUUACAGCUUCCCUCUGAGAAUGGACACCAACACAACAACACGUUGAGUCUGCUCUUUGACACCUCAGACUUUAUUUAACGUGGAGAAUUUGCUGUAUGGAGCGACCGAUUUCCUACCAGAGCGUCUUGCUUGGUUUUCUUUCAAAGUGUCAUGUAAACCAAGAUAACACAGCGUCUAUGUUAAAAAUACAGUUUUCAAAAUGAUCAAGCUCUAACUGCAACCAUCUGCAGAAAAAUCAUCCUUCAUCAGCCCUGCACUGAUUAGUCUUACAUUAAAGCAGUUAAUUCUGAUAGUCCUAAUCCAUACCAGGAAUGUUGUUGAUGUCAGUGUCGUGAUCUAAAGUGAAAUCCACAAGAUUCAGCUGAUGCUAGUUCUUUGUUUUAAAGUGAUUGUUUGAAGCUGAGAGAGACUUUGUUGCAUCAGAAGAAAAUA